AGAGUUUGAUCCUGGCUCAGAUUGAACGCUGGCGGCAGGCCUAACACAUGCAAGUCGAGCGGAUGAAGGGAGCUUGCUCCCGGAUUUAGCGGCGGACGGGUGAGUAAUGCCUAGGAAUCUGCCUGGUAGUGGGGGACAACGACUCGAAAGGGUCGCUAAUACCGCAUACGUCCUACGGGAGAAAGUGGGGGAUCUUCGGACCUCACGCUAUCAGAUGAGCCUAGGUCGGAUUAGCUAGUAGGUGAGGUAAAGGCUCACCAAGGCGACGAUCCGUAACUGGUCUGAGAGGAUGAUCAGUCACACUGGAACUGAGACACGGUCCAGACUCCUACGGGAGGCAGCAGUGGGGAAUAUUGGACAAUGGGCGAAAGCCUGAUCCAGCCAUGCCGCGUGUGUGAAGAAGGUCUUCGGAUUGUAAAGCACUUUAAGUUGGGAGGAAGGGCAGUAAGUUAAUACCUUGCUGUUUUGACGUUACCGACAGAAUAAGCACCGGCUAACUUCGUGCCAGCAGCCGCGGUAAUA
rnacentral:rRNA from 1 species